rnacentral:pre_miRNA from 14 species
GACGGGCACCUGGCAGAGGCUGUGGCUGGAUUCAAGUAAUCCAGGAUAGGCUGUUGCCAUCCGUGAGGCCUAUUCUUGAUUACUUGUUUCUGGAGGCAGCUGAUGGUCUGCAGCCCGAAU